rnacentral:rRNA from 1 species
GUCGAGCGGACCGACGGGAGCUUGCUCCCUUAGGUCAGCGGCGGACGGGUGAGUAACACGUGGGUAACCUGCCUGUAAGACUGGGAUAACUCCGGGAAACCGGGGCUAAUACCGGAUGCUUGAUUGAACCGCAUGGUUCAAUCAUAAAAGGUGGCUUUUAGCUACCACUUACAGAUGGACCCGCGGCGCAUUAGCUAGUUGGUGAGGUAACGGCUCACCAAGGCGACGAUGCGUAGCCGACCUGAGAGGGUGAUCGGCCACACUGGGACUGAGACACGGCCCAGACUCCUACGGGAGGCAGCAGUAGGGAAUCUUCCGCAAUGGACGAAAGUCUGACGGAGCAACGCCGCGUGAGUGAUGAAGGUUUUCGGAUCGUAAAACUCUGUUGUUAGGGAAGAACAAGUACCGUUCGAAUAGGGCGGCACCUUGACGGUACCUAACCAGAAAGCCACGGCUAACUACGUGCCAGCAGCCGCGGUAAUACGUAGGUGGCAAGCGUUGUCCGGAAUUAUUGGGCGUAAAGCGCGCGCAGGCGGUUUCUUAAGUCUGAUGUGAAAGCCCCCGGCUCAACCGGGGAGGGUCAUUGGAAACUGGGGAACUU